rnacentral:rRNA from 1 species
CUCCAUGAAGUUGGAUUCGCUAGUAAUCGCGCAUCAGCCAUGGCGCGGUGAAUACGUUCCCGGGCCUUGUACACACCGCCCGUCAAGCCAUGGGAGCUGGGGGUGCCUGAAGUUCGUGACCGCAAGGAACGACCUAGGGCAAAACCGGUGACUGGGGCUAAGUCGUAACAAGGUAUC